CUAUGAUUGGUUUGUAGAAAAUGGUAGGUAAAAUUGUGAAAAGUCAAAGUAAUCUACUUUUCUUGUUUGGUUAAAAUGUAAAAUACUGGGUAAAGUAAUUUGUAGAAAAUGGGGAAAACUUUUUUAACCUAAAAUAGGGAAAAUGCAUUUUCCUCCAAAAUAAUGAGGAAAACUAGGAAAAGAGAUCGGGUGUUCUCCACAUCCACACAAUUUCUUCAAUUCGUCACUGUCAUUCCAACCGACCGCGGACCGCCGUCGACCGCACCUGCCUCCGCCGUCGGCUCCACCUCCACCACCACCGGACCCUCAACGCCAUCAACCGCCACAACCAACAUCCUCUCUCUGCAUUCACUCUCAAUUGGACCACGGCCACCAGCAACCUCUUCGCCGCCGCCGGAAACCUUCGCUCCGCCACUGUACCUCUCAAUCUUCCAUCUGAUUCAGGAAUUUUCCGGCCUUGAUGGGAACCGCCGGUCGGUUAUUGGAUGAUAACGCCGUACACCUAAUUUUUUUUCCUUUUUCUGUGUCAAAAUUUUUUUUUUCUUUUUAUUUGGGUUACUAGGCUAGGGUGGUGGAGGUGGGGGCGUGAGUGGUGCUGGUGGUGGUGAGAGGUGGGGGCGUGAGUGGUGCUGGUGGUGGUGAGAGUUGGGGCCGUGAGUGGUGGUGGUGGGGGUGGUUUGCGGGGUGCCUUGGUGGUAGAUUUAUUUUAUUAUUCUUUUUUUUUUUUAAUAUUUUAUUAUUCCUUUUAAGUGGAUUUAUUUAAUUUUUAUUUCUUUCUUUUUUUGGAGAAAUUGUUUUGUACUUUUUCGUGAUAUUAACAGAUAUUUGUAUUGGUUUAAUUUUAAUUUUUACUAUUUCAUAAAAAAAAUCUAAGAAUACAUUAUAUUUUUCACAGUUUUCUUGAAAUUGCCAAACAAAACUAAAGAAAGUGAUUUUCAACAAAAUGAUUUUCAUCUUUUUUCCUUGUAACCAAACAUAAAU
rnacentral:lncRNA from 1 species